UCCCUAGCAAACCACCCUGAAUAACAAGUGCUCGACUAUGAAUUAUGUACUGAUUAAAAAAGUACUAGAGGUUACCAAUAGCAUCUUCACAAGUACUGUAAACCAAUCAGACAAUAAACAGAAUGGAAUGGACACAAGAGUGCCACAAAAUCUUAACAUUGGCAUGGACACAACAGCCUAGCUAUUAUAAUGAUUUUCUCGUACUUCCUGUCCAGAUUGGGAGUCAUUCUCAUUCAAAAUAACAAUGCAUCUACACUAAUGAAUUUUUGUGAUAAAUGGUGUUGCUUAACAAAGUCACAGGUUUGGAUUCAAUGGUCUGACAAAUGGCUAUCAUGGUAGAUUUUACAACGGAUUGAGAAUGUUCUUUACACGUCACUACGAGAAAAACGGGAACUAACGGCAUUCUGGAAAUGGCGUUAACAACAACGCCAUUAGAUGUUUGACUUAUUGGUGUUGCAAAAGCUUCAGGAAUCUCUUUCGUCUGGAAGAUGUAGAUGCAAUUGAAACUCAGACCAAAGCUUUUACUUCUCGUUCAUCAGGAAAGUUUGAAGUGCUACAGGUUUAGAGCUUCACAGUCGACCAUUUCCUGGAGAGCUACUUCCUCCAGCCACAGGCUUCUAGGGCUAUCUUGUUACGAGUCCCUGCAAGAUAAGGCCAAAAAGCUUUUGUGGUAUUCAAUGCAUAUGCUUCCUUACCGACAGUGUCGAGACUUUGUGCCAAAGGGAUGACCCCAGUGGUUGAUACAACACCAUGAGAAGGCCGAAACCCUAAAAUCCCACAGUACGAUGCCGGAACUCUUACACUUCCUCCAGUAUCGGUGCCUGUGACAAAGGAAACCUUUUGAUCCAACUUAUGAAGCAUAAGUAGAAAAACAACAAGCUUAUAAUAAAGGCACAACUCACCCAAGGAGAAAUCUACCAGCAUUCCAGCAACUGCAACGGCUGAUCCACUUGAAGAUCCUCCAGGUAACCGAUCUGGUGAACAGAUAUUUUUUGGCGUCCCAUAAUGCUUGUUUUCUCCAUUUAUACUGCCCCAAAACAUGUAUUUCAGUUAGAGUUUUACAAUCAGAAGAGAACUCUAAAGAUCCUUGUGUCAAAAACUUAUUUAAGAAGAUGCUGAAGACAAGAUAUCUUUAACCAACUUUGAAACUUGGCUAAUGAAGUGUCUUGGGUGAUGAGGAAAUUGCUGAAUCUGAGAGGUUUAUGCCAGGGCUGGAUCAAGUAUAUUAUUGGAAAUGGAGAGGAUGCUUUCCUUUGGACUGAUAAUUGGCAUCCUUUGGGAGCCUUAUACCAGACUUUUGGAGAAGAUGUGGUGGUUAAUAGGGGGAAUGCUUUAAAGGCUUUAUACUAUGGUUCAAGGCUGUUGGAAGUGGCCAAGACAAAUGAGUAGAACAAUUCUCCAGAUCAUGCUUCACACUCCUGCAGGUUUUCUCCCGAAUCCUACUCUAUGUGAUAGGGUUGUGUGGACCUUAUCUGCUGAUGGGCUUUUCUCUGAGAAGACAGCUUGGGAGGCUUGUAGACAUAGAAACCCUUUUCAACCCUGGCAUGGCAUUAGCUGGUUUACUCAAGGGGUUCCUAGAUGGAGUUUUAUUGCAUGGCUUGCUGUUUGGGGUAGACUAGCAACUAAAGAUAGAUUGGGGAGCUGGGGUUUGGCUAUUACUCCACAGUGUGUGCUCUGUGGGGAUGCGGUUGAGUCCCUUGCCCAUCUCUUUUUUGAAUGUUCUUUUGCCUCUGAAGUGUAGAAACAAGUUUUGGUAAGGAAUGGCCUGGUUCGGAAUGUUUUGCCUUUGUCUCAAGAGCUUGAUUGGGCUGUGCAGAAUAGAAGUGCGAAAGGUUUGAGAAAUGCAGUUUACAAACUCUCUCUAGUUGCUAUCAUCUAUAGCUUUGUGGGGAGAGCGUAAUUUGAGAGUUUUCAGCAAAAGAGCCGUGGUGUGGCUGAUCUUGCUGGGGUUAUUUUUGAUGGUGUCAGGGCAAAGUUGAGCUCUUGGUCUUCAGUAAAGUUCACUGCAUGCAAUAGGCGGGUUUGCGAUGAUUGGCUUUUGGAUUCUCGUAUUUUUGGUGUAAACAAUUGUUAGAUAGGUUACCUUUCUUUGUCUUUUGACAUUGAGCUGAGCUUUGUUCUGUUUUUCCUGGGGUAUGCCCCUGUGGAUUGUAGCUUCUUUGCGUGUUUGGUAUAAAUGAAUUUACUUACCAAAAAAAGAAA